AGUGAAUAAGUCUCACAAGAUCUGAAGGUUAUAUAAAGAGAAGUUCCCUACACCACUUCUGUCUUUGCCUGCUGCCAUCCACGUGAUAUGUGACUUGCUGCUCCUUGCCUUCUGCCAUAAUUGUGAGGCCUCCUCAGCCACACGGAAAUGCUUAUAGGCAUAAGAGACUUGCCUUGUCUCAGAUGAAACUUUGGACUGUGGACUUUUGAGUUAAUGCUGAUAUUAGGACUCUGCUUACCCUUUGUGAAUAAGCCCAGUGAAUCUGCUGAGUGAUGAGAGAGAGAGUGGGCCAGUCACUUCAUUGCUCCAGGAUUUUCUGUUGAAUGACACUUCAUAAAAAAGACUUUGAUUGCUGAGUUACAAAGACAAUUGUAUCUUCUUGUAAAGCAUACAGUCUUGGUGGUCCUACCCCAUGAACUGGCUGUCCCAGGACGGUUUUACGGUGGUUAUGUUGAAGAUGUAAAUAUUCUCCCUGCUGUGAGUAUUACUGCAGCUGCCCAAAGAUGCUUUAUUUUAAAGAUGUGGAUACAGGAAGAUAAAAGCAUCAGAAACACUGCAUGGGUAAAAAGAAAGAAUGGACUAAAACAGAGGAAGAAAAUCCAGAAAAGGAGGACUCCAAUCCAGAUUAAAGGAAUUUCCAAAAUGGUGGCUGAGACAAAACCUGGGGUUCAAGUCAUGUUACAGAGAUGGUGUUCCAGAUUAGUGCAGAAUAGUGGGCUCAAGAAGAAAUGCCUUCAAGAAAAGAUUGAAACCAACACACUACAAGUUUGACAUUGGAAAAGUUGAAUUGAAGAGUUGUUGGAAGGUUCUGAAGACCUCAAAUGGACUGAGCCACACUACCAGCAUCCAGCAUCCAUGGUUCUCCAGUCUGCAGAUGGCCUAUUAUGGGACUUUUCAGUCUUCAUAAUUAUGUAAGCCUAUUUCCUUAAUCUUCUCUCAUCUAUCUACCUCUAUGUAUCUCCUGUUGGUUCUGUCUCUCCAGAGAACCUCAACUAAUACGAACAGUAACCACUCAUUUUCUUAUGAUUCUGAAAUCUGGGCAUGGCAAGUGGGUACAGCUUGUCACUGCUUUAUGUGGUGUUGGCUGGGGCCACACAUGUGGAUUCACUGAGCUGAGAAUUCAGCGAGAGCUGGAACAUCUGCAAUAGUUUCACACACGUGUCUGGCACCUCAGCUGGGAUGGCAGGAAUGGCACAGGCUGGUUGGCCCCAUCUCCCUGUCCAUAAGGGUUCAUGUGGUCCCCCAUCAGUUAGUUAUAUUGCCUGAGUUCCUUCACAUGGGAUCCCAAGAGAACAACAACAAAAAGCUGCUAAGAUUCUUAAGGUCUCAUUUGAGAAUGUAUAGUGUCGUUUCUGUUGCACUCUGUUGAUCCAAGCAACUCACAAGGCCAGCCCAGAUUCAAGGGAGAGAAUAAUAGUUUUCAGCUCCUGGUGGGAGGAGAGAAAUGUGCAUUCAAGGAUGGCAGCUCUUGUUGCAUCCAUCCUGACA
rnacentral:lncRNA from 10 species